rnacentral:rRNA from 1 species
GACGAACGCUGGCGGCGUGCUUAACACAUGCAAGUCGAACGGGCCCGCUCUCUUUUUUGGGGGUGGGUUGAGUGGCGAACGGGUGAGUAUCCCGUGAGUAACCUGCCCCCUGCUCCUGGAUAACUACUUGAAAGGGCGGCUAAUACGGGGUGUGCCGGCUGGUCCGCAUGGGCCUGGUCGGGAUAGUUUCAUCUUCGGGUGUUUCGGUGGGGGAUGGGCUCGCGGCCUAUCAGCUUGUUGGUGGGGUGAUGGCCCACCAAGGCGGUGACGGGUAGCCGGCCUGAGAGGGUGGGCGGCCACACUGGGACUGAGACACGGCCCAGACUCCUGCGGGAGGCAGCAGUGGGGGGUAUUGCACAAUGGGCGGAAGCCUGAUGCAGCGACGUCGCGUGAGGGAUGGAGGCCUUCGGGUUGUGAACCUCUUUCUCCGGUGGUGAAGGCCCUGUCCGUUGCGGCGGGGUUGACGGUAGCCGGGUAUGAAGCGCCGGCUAACUACGUG